rnacentral:rRNA from 1 species
GAUGAACGCUAGCUACAGGCUUAACACAUGCAAGUCGAGGGGUAACGAGAGGAAAGCUUGCUUUCCUUGUCGACGACCGGCGCACGGGUGAGUAACGCGUAUCCAACCUGCCCCCAACUAGGGAAUAACCUUGCGAAAGUAAGACUAAUACCCUAUAAUUUCCUCAGAUGUCAUCUGACGAGGAAUAAAGAUUUAUCGUUUGUGGAUGGGGAUGCGUCUGAUUAGCUUGUUGGCGGGGUAACGGCCCACCAAGGCAACGAUCAGUAGGGGUUCUGAGAGGAAGGUCCCCCACAUUGGAACUGAGACACGGUCCAAACUCCUACGGGAGGCAGCAGUGAGGAAUAUUGGUCAAUGGGCGGAAGCCUGAACCAGCCAAGUAGCGUGCAGGAUGACGGCCCUAUGGGUUGUAAACUGCUUUUAUACAGGAAUAAAGUUAGCCACGUGUGGCUAUUUGUAGGUACUGUAUGAAUAAGGACCGGCUAAUUCCGUGCCAGCCGCCGCAGUAA